rnacentral:rRNA from 2 species
UAGGGAAUCUUCGGCAAUGGACGAAAGUCUGACCGAGCAACGCCGCGUGAGUGAAGAAGGUUUUCGGAUCGUAAAACUCUGUUGUUAGAGAAGAACAAGGACGUUAGUAACUGAACGUCCCCUGACGGUAUCUAACCAGAAAGCCACGGCUAACUACGUGCCAGCAGCCGCGGUAAUACGUAGGUGGCAAGCGUUGUCCGGAUUUAUUGGGCGUAAAGCGAGCGCAGGCGGUUUCUUAAGUCUGAUGUGAAAGCCCCCGGCCCAACCGGGGAGGGUCAUUGGAAACUGGGAGACUUGAGUGCAGAAGAGGAGAGUGGAAUUCCAUGUGUAGCGGUGAAAUGCGUAGAUAUAUGGAGGAACACCAGUGGCGAAGGCGGCUCUCUGGUCUGUAACUGACGCUGAGGCUCGAAAGCGUGGGGAGCAAACAGG